GUUUACUGCCAUACCGCCCUAAACGCACCUGAUCUUGCUUGAUCUUGGAAGCUAAGCAGCGUCAGGCCUGGUUAGUACUUGGAUGAGAGACAAUACUUACUAUUGGGCAAUUCAGAUUACUGUUAAAU
ensembl:rRNA 5S_rRNA 5S ribosomal RNA